GUUAUGCACAAAACUGUCUGGGCU
rnacentral:piRNA from 1 species